rnacentral:rRNA from 1 species
UACGUAGGGUGCGAGCGUUAAUCGGAAUUACUGGGCGUAAAGUGUGCGCAGGCGGCCGCGCAAGUCGAGUGUGAAAUCCCCGAGCUUAACUUGGGAAUUGCGCUCGAAACUACGUGGCUGGAGUGUGGCAGAGGAAGGUGGAAUUCCACGUGUAGCGGUGAAAUGCGUAGAGAUGUGGAGGAACACCGAUGGCGAAGGCAGCCCCCUGGGUCAAGAUUGACGCUCAUGCACGAAAGCGUGGGGAGCAAACAGG